UACGUAGGGGGCAAGCGUUGUCCGGAAUCAUUGGGCGUAAAGAGCGUGUAGGCGGCUCGGUAAGUCCGCUGUGAAAGUCCAGGGCUCAACCCUGGAAUGCCGGUGGAAACUGUCGAGCUAGAAUCCGGAAGAGGCGAGUGGAAUUCCUGGUGUAGCGGUGAAAUGCGCAGAUAUCAGGAGGAACACCAAUUGCGAAGGCAGCUCGCUGGGACGUUACUGACGCUGAGACGCGAAAGCGUGGGGAGCAAACAGG
rnacentral:rRNA from 1 species